GAAGAAGGUUUUCGGAUCGUAAACUUCUAUCAGCAGGGAAGAAAAUGACAGUACCUGACUAAGAAGCCCCGGCUAACUACGUGCCAGCAGCCGCGGUAAUACGUAGGGGGCAAGCGUUAUCCGGAAUUACUGGGUGUAAAGGGUGCGUAGGCGGCGAGGCAAGUCAGAUGUGAAAGCCCUAGGCUCAACUUAGGGACUGCAUUUGAAACUGCUUUGCUAAAGUGCAGGAGAGGAAAGCGGAAUUCCUAGUGUAGCGGUGAAAUGCGUAGAUAUUAGGAGGAACACCAGUGGCGAAGGCGGCUUUCUGGACUGUAACUGACGCUGAGGCACGAAAGCGUGGGGAGCGAACAGGAUUAGAUACCCUGGUAGUCCACGCUGUAAACGAUGAGUGCUAGGUGUCGGCCUGUAGAGGGUCGGUGCCGAAGUUAACACAUUAAGCACUCCACCUGG
rnacentral:rRNA from 1 species